rnacentral:rRNA from 1 species
AUGCAGCGACGCCGCGUGAGGGAUGACGGCCUUCGGGUUGUAAACCUCUUUCAGUAGGGAAGAAGCGAAAGUGACGGUACCUGCAGAAGAAGCGCCGGCUAACUACGUGCCAGCAGCCGCGGUAAUACGUAGGGCGCAAGCGUUAUCCGGAAUUAUUGGGCGUAAAGAGCUCGUAGGCGGUUUGUCGCGUCUGCCGUGAAAGUCCGGGGCUCAACUCCGGAUCUGCGGUGGGUACGGGCAGACUAGAGUGAUGUAGGGGAGACUGGAAUUCCUGGUGUAGCGGUGAAAUGCGCAGAUAUCAGGAGGAACACCGAUGGCGAAGGCAGGUCUCUGGGCAUUAACUGACGCUGAGGAGCGAAAGCAUGGGGAGCGAACAGGAUUAGAUACCCUGGUAGUCCAUGCCGUAAACGUUGGGCACUAGGUGUGGGGGACAUUCCACGUUUUCCGCGCCGUAGCUAACGCAUUAAGUGCCCCGCCUGGGGAGUACGGCCGCAAGGCUAAAACUCAAAGGAAUUGACGGGGGCCCGCACAAGCGGCGGAGCAUGCGGAUUAAUUCGAUGCAACGCGAAGAACCUUACCAAGGCUUGACAUGAACCGGAAACACCUGGAAACAGGUGCCCCGCUUGCGGUCGGUUUACAGGUGGUGCAUGGUUGUCGUCAGCUCGUGUCGUGAGAUGUUGGGUUAAGUCCCGCAACGAGCGCAACCCUCGUUCUAUGUUGCCAGCGCGUGAUGGCGGGGACUCAUAGGAGACUGCCGGGGUCAACUCGGAGGAAGGUGGGGACGACGUCAAAUCAUCAUGCCCCUUAUGUCUUGGGCUUCACGCAUGCUACAAUGGCCGGUACAAAGGGUUGCGAUACUGUGAGGUGGAGCUAAUCCCAAAAAGCCGGUCUCAGUUCGGAUUGGGGUCUGCAACUCGACCCCAUGAAGUCG